UGCUAAGCAAGCAUUCUACCAACUGUGCUUGAGCCCCGACCCCUUGCCUCUUAUAGUUACCCUGAUGUUGGGAAGGGCCUGCCGUUGCCUCACCAAGCCCGCUGGUGAACCCGCUGAUGCAGAGGCCACCUGCCUGAGUCUUGAUCGCAGACUUGAGCUCGUGAUUCUCCCGAAUGAGCCGUACCAGCUUCUUCAGUUCCUCAUUUUCCCGCACCAGUUUCUCUAUCUGUUGCCGGAGCCCCUCAUAACUUCGACUCUUCCUUUGCACCUGAUCUCUGCUCCUCAGGUGCUUGAAUCUUAUGGAGUUUCAUUUUCUCAGGAAUCUCAAACAAGACGUGAUGGUGAUCCAGCGGCACCAUCUGUUACUCUACCAUCACCCCGGGCUGAGUUGACUCGGCUGAUCUGGCUGGCUAAGCGAGUAUCCCAUCCUUCCCUCACUGUCCCUCCUGAAGCUGACCACUUGGUAGAAGACAACCUUCUCCCAGAGAAGGAGCAGUGUUCAACCAAAGAUACACAAGUAGCUGUGUUCCUCUGCUAGGACUUCCGAACAAGAACCGGAGCCAGUCCUCCUCAACUAGUUUCAAGAGCCAAGGACUGAGUCUUCUUGACAAACCCUUCUCUCAGAGCUAUCUAGAAAGAAUGCCAUGGGCCUGAUCUUGGGAGUCAAUGGAGGCUGAUCCUUAAGACCUCCACUGGCUCUGCGGUCAUCUUCUCUCAAAGCUUUCCAUGGGUCAGGGAGAGGAAGGUAAAGUCCAGUUCCAGACCAGAUUCCAUUGGGCAGACUCUGGUAGAGAGUGGAGCUGAGGAAGAGGAGAGCAUCCAGGGCUGGGGUCAGUCUAAGUUGGGUGUUCUAUCUGGACCUCACAAUGGGGGGCUGCCCCCCUCAUCUCUGACACUCCAUGCUGUAAUCCUCAGUCACUCUGGCUUUAAGGACAAAAGUAUCUAAGGACCACACACAAGCUCUUUUCAUUAUU